rnacentral:rRNA from 1 species
GACGAACGCUGGCGGCGUGCUUAACACAUGCAAGUCGAACGGGCUCUGUCUGGCUGUGUGCUGGGUGGGGUUAGUGGCGAACGGGUGAGUAAUACGUGAGUAACCUGCCCUCUUCUUUGGGAUAAGCCUUGGAAACGGGGUCUAAUACUGGAUAUUCCUGUCUGGUCGCAUGGCUGGGUGGGGAAAGUUUUUUUCGGUGGGGGAUGGGCUCGCGGCCUAUCAGCUGGUUGGUGGGGUGAUGGCCUACUAGGGCGUCGACGGGUAGCCGGCCGGCGGGGGUGACCGGCGAAACUGGGACUGGGAAACGGCCCCGACUCCGACGGGAGGCAGCAGUGGGGGAUAUUGGACAAUGGGCGCAAGCCUGAUGCAGCGACGCCGCGUGGGGGAUGACGGCUUUCGGGUUGUAAACCUCUUUCGUCGGGGGACAAGGCUCUGCUUGGUGGUGGGGUUGAGGGUACCCGGUGAAGAAGCGCCGGCUAACUACGUG